AAGGUGCGCAAGUAUUAGGGACCCCUUUUUACAAGUGAGAAAACUGAGCCCAUAGGAAGGUUAAGCAUUAGUGACAGAGCUGGACUGCACUCCAACGCCACGGUGAGAGGUUUGCCCAAACAUCCCUGACCUGUGUAACAUCUGUCAGGAGCUUAGCGCGAUGAAGAUCAGAUGACUCAGCGGCUCCAAAGCUUGAGAGCCCUCACUGUGGCCCUUUACUGUGUCCAGGUGCGGCCGGCGGGGGACAGGGAAAGAGAUCACAGCGAAGACCCAGAAGAAACAAAAGGCAAGCGAAUGUAAGAGCUUCACCACCUUCCCACUCCAGGACGGUGGACAACAAGAGGUUUGAAAGCUGUGAUGUCCUCACUGUCUUCCGUCCCUCUCACGGAAUGAAAAGUCGUUUUUGCCAGAAUAUUAUACCUGCAAGAUCUCACGGGGAGGAGACUGCAGCCCACCCGCUGGAGAUUUUUGCCUACAGAAAGCUUCCCUUUUUUUCCAACCCAAAGACAGACUUUUAUAGCCUCUCCAACUCCCCUUGAAUUUUUAAGAGAGAGAAAGAAAAGCCCCAAAGUGAAAGAUAGUGGUCAUUUAUGCCUUGGAAAGAUAAAUGGGUGUUUUAGUUUUGUUUUUAAAUGAAUUUUCCUUUUCUAAAGAAUUUCUUUCAAAAAAUUAGUGGGAGUUGAGGUGAGGCAUGUGUUUUAUAUUUUUAUAUCCACUUUAGUAGGUUUUAAUAUAACGUCUUGAGUCCCUUUUGAAUUUCUUUAUGACCCAGGUCAAGCUGCCCUGAUUCAGGUUCCACGCAGCUAAAAAUUAAAUUGUAGCUUCCAUCCAUGUCACAAAUAUGUAAGCUGGGGAGGUAACCUACUAUCAGGCCAUAUUUACAGAAUGGCUAAAAAACUAAGCUAAACUUCUCGAAGAUGUCAAUACCUAAGUGUCUUUGGGAUACUUCCUGAAACUACCUGUGAGAAUCUGUUCAUUUUUUCUUUUAAUUAGGACUUUAUUUUACUGAAAAAAAAAAAACUUGAAUGAAGAGAGCCAAAGUACAUGGUGAUGUGAGUGUGAGUCAUGGAACUUGUUCUUUUUUCUGAAUAAUUAUUUCACUUAAGAAGACAUCCAGAUACAUCCAGAUAAUUUGACUAUUUGCCGACCUCUUGGAUGUACCAUAGAUUCUUAUGCAUUGGAUCCUUGAAGACUUAACGCUUCAGGAUGGCAUGCUGGGCACACAAGUUCACUUCCCCCUUGCAAAGCCACAUGACAUUUACGGUAAAGAAAUAAGGCAGAAAUAAAGCCAUGACACUACUGUGACCAGAAGGAAGGCCAUCCGAGAGAAAUAUACUUUUGUGAAGUUCUUGGCAAGAAGAA
rnacentral:lncRNA from 10 species